GCCUGGGUGGCUCAGUCAGUUAAGCGUCUGACUUCAGCUCAGGUCAUGAUCUCACAGUCUGUGGGUUCGAGCCCUGCGUCGGGCU
rnacentral:tRNA from 1 species